CGGUGUCCGAGUUGUAAUCUCUAGAAGUGUUUUCCGCGUGGACCGCACACAAGUUGGAAUACAGCGGCUAGUGGUGAAACCCCCGUAUAUGGUGCGGACGCCCAGCGCGUGAUACACUUUAAUGAGUCGAGUUGUUUGGGAAUGCAGCUCAAAUUGGGUGGUAAAUUCCAUCUAAAGCUAAAUAUUGGCGAGAGACCGAUAGCGAACAAGUACCGUGAGGGAAAGAUGAAAAGCACUUUGGAAAGAGAGUUAACAGUACGUGAAAUUGUUGGAAGGGAAACGCUUGAAGUCAGACUUGCUUGCCGGAGCUUGCUUCGGUUUGCAGGCCAGCAUCAGUUUUCCGGGGUGGAUAAUGACGGUUUGAAGGUAGCAGUCUCGGCUGUGUUAUAGCUUUCCGUUGGAUACCUGGGGGACUGAGGAACGCAGCGUGCUUUUUGCGAAAGACUCGUCUUUUUCACGCUUAGGAUGCUGGUGGAAUGGCUUUAA
rnacentral:rRNA from 1 species